CACCCAUAAUCGCCAGAGAAAUACAAAUAACCAUUUGAAAUUCAAAGGAUUUGACGGCAUUUCAUCCAUCUAGAGGAGUCUGUUCUAUAAUCGAUAUUCCCCGAUAUACCUGACCACUUUUUGUCAGUCAGUCUGUAUACCUCCGUCGUAAGCUUACCAUAUGAAUGUUAAUUAGUGAGCUAAAAGAUCACUACAUCCGUACGUCAGGUCAAGGUGCAACCUAUAAAGUGGAUAGAAAUGGGCUACAGUUUUUAAUUUAAAAUAUACGGAUUAUCAUAUGAAAAAUGAUAUGAAGGUGGAUUUAGAAGUAAGAGGAAAAUAAAGUGUUUCUCUUAAUUUGGCUAUGAAAUGUGUACACACCGCCCGUCACCCUCUUCAAUAAAUAAACGAGUGCUUAUAGCAAUAUAUAUAAAAUCAGAGAAGAGGCAAGUCGUAACAUGGUAAGCAUACUGGAAAGUGUGCUUGGAAUAACAAAAUAUAGCUUAAUUUAAAGCAUUUCGUUUACAUCGAAUUUAUACUUGUUUAAUUCAGGUUAUUUUGAGCUUAAGACUUCGCCUGUUAAUUGUUUUCUUUUGUAAAUUUACAAAAACAUUUAAUCAAUUUAGUAAAGGUGAUUAAAAAAUUAAUUAGAGCUAUAUAUAAAGUACCGCGAGGGAAAAGUGAAAUAAAAGUGAAA
rnacentral:rRNA from 1 species